AGCAGCCGCGGUAAUUCCAGCUCCAAUAGCGUAUAUUAAAGUUGUUGCAGUUAAAAAGCUCGUAGUUGAAUUUCGGGAUCAAUAUGCUGGUCGUGCCUUGGUACGUACUAAUUUAUUGGUUUCUUCCUUCUGACGAACCAUGAUGUCAUUAAUUUGGUGUCUUGGGGAAUCAGGACUGUUACUUUGAAAAAAUUAGAGUGUUUAAAGCAGGCUCACGCUUGAAUACAUUAGCAUGGAAUAAUGAAAUAGGAUGUUUGAUUCUAUUUUGUUGGUUUCUAGGAUCGACGUAAUGAUUAAUAGGGAUAGUUGGGGGCAUUAGUAUUCAAUUGUCAGAGGUGAAAUUCUUGGAUUUAUUGAAGACUAACUACUGCGAAAGCAUUUGUCCAAGGAUGUUUUCAUUAAUCAAGAACGAAAGUUAGGGGAUCGAAGACGAUCAGAUACCGUCGUAGUCUUAACCAUAAACUAUGCCGACUAGGGAUCGGAUGAUGUUAAUUUUUAAUGACUCAUUCGGCGUCCCG
rnacentral:rRNA from 1 species